GUCCAGACUCCUACGGGAGGCAGCAGUGAGGAAUAUUGGUCAAUGGGCGGGGGCCUGAACCAGCCAAGCCGCGUGAAGGAAGAAGGCGCCAAGCGUCGUAAACUUCUUUUGUCGGGGAACAAAGGGCGCCACGUGUGGCGUUGUGAGUGUACCCGAAGAAAAAGCAUCGGCUAACUCCGUGCCAGCAGCCGCGGUAAUACGGAGGAUGCGAGCGUUAUCCGGAUUUAUUGGGUUUAAAGGGUGCGUAGGCGGAACGCAAAGCCAGCGGUAAAUUCGCGGGGCUCAACCUCGCUCCGCCGUUGAAACUGGCGGGCUGGAGUUGGAGAGAAGUACGCGGAAUGCGCGGUGUAGCGGUGAAAUGCUUAGAUAUCGCGCAGAACCCCGAUUGCGAAGGCAGCGUACCGGCUCCACACUGACGCUGAGGCACGAAAGCGUGGGUAUCGAACAGGAUUAGAUACCCGCGUA
rnacentral:rRNA from 1 species